UUGCAUAUGUCAUUAUAUUUGUCCCAUUGCAGAUAAACAAUGAGCUGUUUUUUCUGGCAGCAAGUGAGGAUGUCGUUGAGUGGAGACAUUUGGAUCAGAGACGGGAAUCAAAGUUUAACCCGAUUAUUGGAGAGUUUAGUGUUAAAAUUCCAGAGGUUAGUGUCAAAAUUGUAGUUGUUGCUAUGGAAGCGGAGUCAGAGGUUUGCUUUUGUGAAGCGAAGCGAAUCUAAGUAAUGUCACUGACUCUCUCUCUCUCUCUCUCUCUCUCUCUCUGUGGAAAUUAAGAAUGUUGUAGCGUUUUUCAAGUGCUUUAAUCUCAAGGUUUUACCUAAAUUAUAUAGGAUUGGUGCUUUUGUCUGUUAUGUAAUGUUUAUUAGGCCCGAAAGCUUAAGCUGGUAUUAGGGCUAGUGUCAUGAGUUUUUCUAAACAAUAAUUGUUGUUGAGUGGCA